CUGGCUGUUAAAGAAACAGCUGCUUGACACAAUGCUACCAUUAAUAUUUUUGUGAAUCAAAUCCUGCAGUAUUUUAUUUUCAUGUCAUAUUGAAAGAAAGACUCUUUGAACACCUUAAGUGUUUAGUAUUCCUCCUAACAAAAGGAACACUACAGACCAACAGAGAUCAUAGAUCUCCCCACUUCUUCUCCACCAGCAAUAUAACGCUUAAGAGCUCUUCUAGAGGACUAUGAAAAGAUUUCCAGUUUCCACAUGCUUAACAUGCAUCCUGGAAGCAGUAAUAAGAUUUUGCCAGAAACCUUCAGCUGCAGGGAUACACACCACAGAGGGGUCUUAGUCCGAAACCUGCUGAUCAAUCAGACUUCCAACACAAAUGCUGCCCCCAGCUCACUACCACGGACACCAUCAAAGAUGUCCAGGUCUGGAGAGAAGCAGGCAGGGAUACAAUGCCUUCACCCUGUGCAGUAGGACACAGGGAGCUGAGGAAGCACCAUGCAGCUCCAAACCAGGUACGCUCAUUCUAGCUCCAAGCCACACCAACUGCACUGCUCCUGGUUUGCCAGCAGAGUUCAGUCACAUCUGUCUGUCUAAUACCAUGUAGAUACCUCCUAAAUAAGUGUGUGAAUGUUGCAUUUGAAAACACUGAUCUUUAAGAAAAUGAGGGGGGUAAACCUUAACUGCUAAAGACUUUGUAUUCUGGGGAAGCUUCUGAUCAGAAAGCCAGCAGAACUACCAGCAAUUCUUACCCAUCUGGUCAGUCAUCAGGCAAGGCACAGACCUGCCUGCUGCAUACUUUAAGCUACUGAAAAGAAAAUUAAUGAUCAUAUUGAUGUUACACAGACAUACAUACAACGUGCAGUUUAUAUAUGCCAAUAUUUAUUUAGAAUACAUAAAAUUCAGUAUCUCAACAUGCAUUUAAUAUCUUUAAUUAGCUACUGAUCACAGCACUUUACCAGCUAGAGGAUGUACAAUACUGUGUUUCUUUAGUUACUCAGAAGAGUACGGCAGUGGAGCAGCACUGGAAAUAUUGUAAGUAAGGCAAGCUGAAGGUAGACUGCAGCAUCCCGUAUUAUAGACAAUUAUAUAAAUCCCUUUCUCUGAGAAUCCCAAGAUAGCACUUUACAGUAAGCCAAAAAAUGUUACUACCACAUAUUUUUGCACUUGCCAGACAGAAAAUAUUUGGUUCUCCAUAAAAGUCUAUUUAGAUUU